rnacentral:rRNA from 1 species
GUACACUCCUGCGGGAGGCAGCAGUGGGGAAUAUUGCACAAUGGGCGCAAGCCUGAUGCAGCGACGCCGCGUGGGGGAUGAAGGCCUUCGGGUUGUAAACUCCUUUCGCUAGGGACGAAGCUUUUUUGUGACGGUACCUAGAUAAGAAGCACCGGCUAACUACGUGCCAGCAGCCGCGGUAAUACGUAGGGUGCGAGCGUUGUCCGGAAUUACUGGGCGUAAAGGGCUCGUAGGUGGUUUGUCGCGUCGUCUGUGAAAUUCUGGGGCUUAACUCCGGGCGUGCAGGCGAUACGGGCAUAACUUGAGUGCUGUAGGGGUAACUGGAAUUCCUGGUGUAGCGGUGAAAUGCGCAGAUAUCAGGAGGAACACCGAUGGCGAAGGCAGGUUACUGGGCAGUUACUGACGCUGAGGAGCGAAAGCAUGGGUAGCGAACAGGAUUAGAAACCCUUGUAGUCCC